rnacentral:tRNA from 1 species
GAAGGUAAAGUUCAGUGGUAGAGCACGUGCUUAGCAUGCACGAGGUCCUGGGUUCAAUCCCUAGUACUUCCA